rnacentral:rRNA from 1 species
CGGCGGACGGGUGAGUAACACGUAGGCAACCUGCCUGUAAGAUGGGAAUAACGAUCGGAAACGAUCGCUAAGACCGAAUAGAUCUUCUUGGCGCAUGCGAAGGAGAAGAAACACGGAGCAAUCUGUGGCUUACAGAUGGGCCUGCGGCGCAUUAGCUAGUAGGUGAGGUAACGGCUCACCUAGGCGACGAUGCGUAGCCGACCUGAGAGGGUGAACGGCCACACUGGGACUGAGACACGGCCCAGACUCC